UGAGUGACCAAGGGGUGCUGACCGCGGCGCUCGGACCCGGCAACUUACAAGAUUAAAAUUAAAUUUGGUUGAUGAUGGUUCUGGACAAAUACAGCUCUUUUAUUUGAGGUAUGCCAUUUUGAAGACAGACCCGUGGAAUUUUAUCCUUGAGGAUAGGGGAAAUCUUUGUGAAAGUCUGUAUUUUAUAAAGCAACAAUAUGAAUCCUGAGGCUGAAUUGUCUAAGGGGCCUGUACAGCGAAAUAGAUAGAGGUAUAAAUGGAUGGAAGGAAACUCACAUUUGAACAUUCUUCUAAUACUGCACCCUAGCUGUUGGUAAGCUCCCCAUUUUUAUAAAUAAAGUUUUAUUGGAACACAGCUAAGCUCUUUCAUUUACAUAUUAGCUGUGUCUGCUUUCUGACUACAGCUGCAGAGAGUAGAUUUAGCUAAUGGCCACAAACCCUAACAUAUUUAGUUAUUUAGUAUUUUAACCUGUAAGGAAAUCUUGCCUAUCCUUUCCCUAGAUUCAUCCUUUUUGUCAACUUUAUGUAGAACUCAAAAGCACUUGGAUUCUCUUAAUAAUGGGGGUGUACCUUUUACUUUGUUAGUAUUUCAUUGUUAGAAUUCAAAUAACAUAAGUAAUCAUGAGCUUGGCUUAAACUCCAAAGCCCAACAAAGGUUCUUUCACACCAGCAUUAUGCUUUAAUAUUAGAAGAUUUGGGGAGUUCCCGGUGUGGCACAGUGGAAAUGAAUCAACUAGUAUAGUAUCCAUGAGGAUUUGGGUUCUAUCCCCGGCCUCACUCAGUGGAUUAAGGAUUUGGAGUUGCUGUGAGCUGUGGUGUAGGCCAGCAGCUGCAGCUCUGAUUCGACCCCUAGUCUAGGAACUUCCUUAUGACACAGGUAUGGCCCCAAAAAGCAAAAAAAAAAAAAAAGAAGAAGAAGAUUUGGUUACUACUGCUAUGGAAUUUCUAAUUCGCAACCUGAGAAAUAGUGGGAAAAAAGUUAGGGUUAAGAAUGUGUAAAUGAAUUUGGUUGAACUCUCAAAAGGAUUUAUUUAUUAUUGACAGAACUUUUUAGGUAUGAUAAUUAUUUAGUAGCUUUUUCAUAAAAAUAAUUUUCGAUUCACAUUUGGGAAUCUAGAUUCUAAGUGAUAAUCUUUGCUUCUAAUUACUGCAACUUCUAUUAUGUAAAAAUGGCUACUAGGGCUUGUAAAAUAGUGAAGUUUGUUUCUGUUUUCCAAUUUAGGGUGUGAGGACAGAUGAAAACUUUGCUAAUGUAAUACAAUUUAUUAACUUAAUGUCUUUUAAAGCAAUUAAUUGGCACAUUACUGGAUGCUCAACAUACUUGUUGAUUUAUUUUAAUGGUUUCUAUUGAACAUUUAUUAACUAGUAUUUUGAGUCUAGUCUAAAAACAAUUCAUUAUUAAAAUGUGUUUGUAAUGGGUUAAAUACUAAUUUUUAUGUAUGCUUGAAAGCUAAAACUUUGACUCGGUAAAGACCUUAAAAGUGGCAAGAAACCACAACUUUCAAUCUUUUAUGCACAUGUAGUCAAGUUUUAAAAACUAAUAGGGAUAAUGGGGAAGACUUGAUUUGAUUGUAAAACCUUAAGUAAGACUCUUCUUACUUAACAUAGUUGAUCUUAUUCUUUUAGUAAACAACAGUUGGAUGGACUUUUUGUAGUUAGUUUUUAUGCCCACCUUAUUUAAUUUUAUACCCAAGACUUGUUAAUAUAUUGCAAUCCUAUUGAGCAUUCAAGCUAUUUUUGGUAAUAAGACAGUAUGUGAAUUCAUUAAAUGUUUUCAGAUUUAAAGACAGUGCAAAGAAGAUUGAAAUCAUAAGUACCAAGAAGCUUAUUUACAUAAGCCGAUGAGAAUGAUCAAUUUCUGCUUCUCAUUGUAAUUUUGUAUCCAUUUGUCUUGCAUUAAAUAUUUGAGUUUUAAAAUAAUAAAAGUUACAUAAGUUAACAAACUAGCAUUUAUUAUAGAGCCUCUCACUUUAUUUUUUCAUCUUUUUAGUUUUAUUUGAAGUAUAGUUGAUUUACAAUGUUGUGAUAAUUUCUGAUGUACAACAAAGUGAUUUAGUUACACAUGUACACACAUCCCUUUUCAGGUUUUUUUCCCAUAUAGAUUAUUAUAGAAUAUUGGGUAGAGUUCCCUGUGCUAUACAGCAGGUACCCAUUUAGAGCUACUCAUUUUAAAAAUUAAGAAUCAUUAAUCUUUUUUCCUUGUAUUCCUCCCUGUCUGCCAUAUUUUUUGUUGCCAUUAAAAUGUGGGUUUGCUGGGAAGUAGAGGUAAGGAAAUUGCUUAUUUUAGGGGAACCCUUCUUAAACCCAUCCAGUAAUGAAUCACUUGUUUGCAUUUCAGCUAAUGACAUAUAGGUUUUUUUUGAAAAAAUUUACUGAAUUAGAAUUUAAGAGAAGACUUUGCUCAAUUCUGCGUUUUUAAUUUCCAGAUGUACAAAAUAUUUGGGAAUUUUAAGAGGUAGUAAGUACUUAUUACGUUUUUACUAUAGGAAGCUUUUGCUUUUGUUUUUGGGUAUUAGAGUAAGAAAUUUUCCUUUAAAAAGGAAAUAUAAAGUACUGAACAUCAUCGUGGAGAAAUUCUCCUAGCUUUUCGUAAUAUGAGCUUGGAACUUGUAUGUUUGAUGAUGGAAUUCUUGAGCAAACCAUCAUCUCUUCAGUAUAUUUGCAGUAAUUCACUAAUUACUAGAGAGAGAUGGAGUAUUAGGGCUUUGAUACUAAACCCUACUCAGUUUUCUGUACUGGUCUUAUUUUAAUGUCAGAUUAAAUUCUCUUUAAAGCAGAAAGUGUUUUGUCUUUAAAUAGUUGACCCCAUGAUUCUAUAGAUUUUUCAGGGAUAUCAUAGCCACUGGAAUAUAAAUUACUUUGAUUCAUUAAGGGUAGUUUGUAGGUCCUCAGGUACUUUGGUUACUAUGGUAUAUUGGAACAAUAGCUGGCAUUUAUUGAAGUCUUCCAUUAUGCCAGGUAAUGUAAAAGCUAUAAAUGUACUAACUCCUUUAAUCCUCACUACUGCUGCCACAUGAGGUAGGUACUGUUACUUCUGUUUUACAGAUGAAGAACUGGAUUUUGUUAACAAGAAAAUUUCCAGUCCCACAGAACUCAUGCUUGUUUUCUCUUUUUUCUUAACAUAACUUUGCUGAUUUGCAAGUUUAAUUUUUGUAGAGAAAUUGGAAUUCCAUGAGAAUGACUUAUUUCUAAAUCAUUUACUGUUCAUUUAAGUGCUUUGAUACUUAAAGUAUUACUGAGCACUUUUGCUUAUUAACAGAACUGACUUCUGGCUUUUGAGUUGGCUUUAUAGAAGUGAAGGUUGAUCAUGGGUUUUCUUGGGUAGCAUUCCUUUUUUUUUUUUUUUCUUCUCUCCUCUGCCCUGCCUUUUAUACUGUUUAAAAUGGCAGUAUAUGUAUUAGCUUGACCAAUAUGCUAGUAUUUUUAAUCUCUGUUUUUAUCCCAUAAACUGGUGCAUUUUAUUAAUUUUGUUCUGAUUUUAAUAAAUAAGGCUUUGUGAAAUUUUUUGAAAAACAAGGUUUUAAAAGGAAAUGUCUUAUCGUGUCCAAGGUAAAUUUUACCUCUUGGCCUAUGGCAGAAGAAUAUAAAGCACAAAGUUUAUCAUUUAAUGUACUAGAUUGAAUAAAUUGCACCUGUAGCCAUUGAGAUGAUUAUAACUUGAUAUCGAUGCAUUAAUGUCAUUGUUCAUCAUAAUAAUAUUUAUGUUCUCAACUUCAUUUAGAGCUUGAUCCUGCAUUGUAAGAGCAGGGUUUGGGGAGAAAUUGGUUUAUAAUUAACUCUGCAAGAGACUGAUCGUAUUUUUAUUUUUAUACUUUUAUAUAGAAAUGUAUGUCCCUUAAUUUUAUGAAUGAAACGCUCAAUUAGAAGAUAAUUUACUGACAUGGAGAAUGAAUAAGUUAUUUCCAGUUCUCCUUUUAGGCUGGAGAGAAAUCAGCAAAAAAUAUUAAGGAGAAAUGUCUUUUGUUUGAUGUUUAAUGAGUGGUGGUGUCUUCUUGGUUAAUCAAAUAACUAAGUAGAUUUUUGUAUUUUAUAUAUAAAAUACUUACUGUAGACUAGAAAUCCAAAUUACAGUUUGAGUCAAGGUAUUAAUUACCUCAUGAGCUCAAGAUGCCCCCCUUUUUUGGCUGCACCUGUGGCAUAUGGAGGUUCCUGGGCCAGGGACUGAAUAUGAGCUGCAGCUGUGGCAAUGCCAGAUCCUUAACACACUUCACCAGGUCAGGGAUCGAACCCAUGCAGCCAUAGAGACAACUGCCAAAUCCUUAACUCCAAAAUGACUCCAAAAUGCCCUUAUAUUUAAUACCCUUCUAAUCAGUCACCCAGACCAGCCAUACAAAUUUAGUUUGAGAGCUGCAGAAUUUAUAGAGAAGACUAGAGUUAAUACUUACUUUUAUGUUUUAUCAUGAUGAAUCAGAACUAUUUAUUUAAUAGUAAAAUCUCCUGGCUUCCCUUAAUCCCUUUAUUUCAAAUUAUUUAAGUAGUGGGUUUUUUUGUUUUUUUGUUUUUUUUUUUUUUAAUGGGGGAACAUUUGAUGUUUUCUCAAUGGAAAUAUUUUUUUAUUUAAUUUGCAAUUUGAUAGCAUUUCAUGGCAAAUACCAAAUAAGCCGGGCAGAUAUUUUGCAUUUUUGAUGGUUUCGUAUUCUAGUAGCUACAUGUCUUCUGCAUUCUCAUAUAUAGCUAAAGAUGAUGGGAGUUCCCGUCGUGGCGCAGUGGUUAACGAAUCCGACUAGGAACCAUGAGGUUGCGGGUUCGGUCCCUGCCCUUGCUCAGUGGGUUAACGAUCCGGCGUUGCCGUGAGCUGUGGUGUAGGUUGCAGACGCGGCUUGGAUCCCGCGUUGCUGUGGCUCUGGUGUAGGCCGGUGGCUACAGCUCCGAUUCAACCCCUAGCCUGGGAACCUCCAUAUGCCGCGGGAGCGGCCCAAGAAAUAGCAACAACAACAACAACAACAACAACAAAAAGACAAAAGACCAAAAAAAAAAAAAAAUUAAAAAAAAAAGAUGAUGGUAUCUAUGUUGGUCAUUUGUGUUACCUAUGCAAAAUUAAUAUCCGUUGCAUUGGAAAACCACUGUGAUCCACUGCUUUAGUUUUUUUCUUUUUUCUUUUUUUUAAUCCUAAGAUUCUUUUCCAUAAUUAGUUUUAUUUGAAGAAGCUUGGGAAGUUUUUUGCACUGAGAUUUAGCAUCCAUAGUGUUGGUGUAAUUUAGCUUUCUAGGAUUUUUGAAUUUGAAUUUUUGUUUUUAUUUCUCAUAUAGUCUAGCAAUAUUACAUUUAACUAUUAAAAAUUUGACUCUUCACUGCCACAUUUUUAUGGUUACAUAUGUAUCUGUGACAGUAGAAGGACUUUGUUACUAGUGUGCAGUUUUCCCAUGUCUCUCAUUGAUAAGUUUGUACAGCACAUACAACUUUAUACAGUUUUAUAAUUUAAAGCUGUUACAAAAUUGUUAAAGCUUUGUAUGGUUAGAGUAUCUUCAAGGUGGGUGGAUGUUCUCUGUUUAAAGGAAUAAGAUUAUUGCUAUUCCAACAGCAUUUUUUCUUUUAAUGUUUUCAUCAAGCACCCAGUCAGCUUGAAGAGUCUCAAAUGGACCCUACAACUGAGAAAUCAAGAUGGCAGUCCACUAUGGGAAAUGAGAAAAAUGGACUAAUGCAAGAGUGCUGUGAUAAUAACAACCAAGACAGGGUUCUUUUAACAUGGAUUUCAUGAAUGAAGAUAUAGGUUUCUUAACCAACACAAUGGACAGUGGAUUCGACUUUGGAAAGACUUUUUGUAUCAUAAAAACAAGAACAUUUUUGACACUUGGAGAAGAAAGAUGACACAUUAACAGAUGAUAGUGUGUAUGCCUGGAAUUUUUUGGUUUGAUUUGUAUGAGAAUGACCUUGUGGAAUGUUAACUUUAAUAAAAUUUCUAACAGU
rnacentral:lncRNA from 1 species